GCAAAGCCAUAAGAACAAGCUGCUGUUUGGAUAGCAGUUCCACAUUCAGCUCUCAUAUGUCAGUGUCGGGGUUGAAUAAUGAUCUUGGUUUCAUUACACUUGUGUCUAUGGUAGACUGGGGCAAUGAAGACAAGUGAGUUUGAUUCAUCUGACGAAGAGGACUUUGGUGAAGUGGAAGCCACACCUUUUCAGAUCUCAUGGUUGUCUCUGUCAGUGGUGGAGUGUUCCCAGUCUCUUGGCAUUUGUUCCUUACCUGGAUGCAGAUAUAAAGAAACCAGAAGAAACCUGCAGAAAGAUGUUGGUGAGU